CGGAAUAGUACCGAGGCUCCACCCCCCGGAUACCGGGGCUUCGGCCCAUCCUCCCAGAUUCAAGGAUGGGAAACCUCCAACAGGAGCUAAAGCACAAGCAGCUGCUGCUGGAGGGGCUGGCAGGGGGGCCGUCUGUCCCCAGACGCUGGAGUCUCCAGCCUCCUCCCCAGCUGGCCCCUGGGGAGGAGGUCUGAGCAUGGGAGAGGCUCACCUGAGCCUCUCACACGGUAUGGAGGGGGCUGUGGGAGCCCAUACCCAGAGAUGACCCCAGUCCUGGCUCACCUCAAGUGGGUGCUACCCGCAGGUACCACUGCCAUCCUCCACAGGUGAGGAGCGAGCGGUGAGGCACGGACAAAUGAGGGGGUUGAUCUAGGUGUGUGCAGCUGGUCUGUGGUGGGGUCCAGAUUCGAGCUCAGCUCUAAGGACCCCCAAGCUCUGGCCCUAACCACAAUACAUAAGCUCCCAGGCCAUGCCCGCGAGUAAGAGCAUCAUCCUGCACCUGGAGACUAGGGCAGGGACAGGGUGUGCCAGGACCAAGAUGUCCGCCAGGGUCCCGGGCAUCCACCCUGACCCAGACCUGGGCUCACCCAACACCAGUUGACCGUCUCUAAGGAUCAGGUACCUGGGGUGUCAGCUGGAGGGAUGGGGGCUGCCUAAGGCCCUGCCUGCCUGAUUCCCUGGCACCCCAAACGGGUCUGUGCCACCUCACCACUUCCCAGGGGGCUCUCCCUCCCCAGCUGAAGGACAAAAAGGAAGAUUAUCAGGAAGACUGGAAGAGGUAAUGGGUGUGGACACGGCUGGUGCAGUAUCUCCCGGCUAGGCAAGGAGAGGGAAGUGUGAGUAUUCUCUUGGCCAGAAAGCCCAGGAACGUCCAAAUCCUAUGUAGCCAAGAGGAUGCCAAAGAAUGUCUUUAUUCCCGCCUGGCCUGAAAUGGUCUAGAAUGGGGUUUAGGGUUUGGGCUCAAGACCAGGAUAAGGUCUCCCUGCUCCCUAAGCCUAGAACUUACCAGUAGCCCACAGCUAGUCGCAUGGAUGCCCCUGUGCCAGGAUGCUGGUGAGGCUCACCCUGUCACCCUUCUGUCUCCUGGACGAGAAGUGUAGGGAGAGCCACCCAAUGGGAGCCAUCCAUCUGAAAUCGGGUGAGUGUCUCUGCCCCCACAUCAACAGGGACCUUGAUAGGACAUAAUGGCUGCUCGCUGAAGGCCUAGCCCCAUGUGAUGAACCUUUUGUGCCCCACUUUAUUGGACCCUCUCUCCAAGCUUGGGAGUCAGAACUACAGCCGGAUCCAUGACACAGGUGACAGACAGAGGCUCCCAGAAGUUAAGUGACUUGCUCCAACAGCUCAGAAGUGGCAGGGUGGGGAACUAGACUCAGGCUAUGGGGCAUUGGGUGUGAGGUCCUCAACCUCUCCCAGGUUCUCCCUGAAGGCUUCCGCUCCUUCGCCCUCUGACCGCCUAAAACCCUCUGUCUGAACCACCCCAAUUAGCUCUCCUGACCCUAUACUUAUGCCAUGAGUGGUUAGGAGCAACAAAGCAGCAGGCGAAACCCAGACCUUGGGUCCUGGACAGCCUUACCCUCUCUGAUCCCCAGGUACCCGGGGAGGGGAGCCCACACCACCUCCCAGGGCCGGGGAGGGGCUUAAAUGAGCUCUGAGCAUAGUGCCUGGUUCAAGGCAAUCACUCAAUUAAUGAUACCUUCAGAAUGCUGGCUGCAGACUUGUCUGUCUGUCUUGCUCAUCUGCCUGCAGAAUCCCUGAGGGAGAGCAGCAGGCCCUCCAUCCAUCCCCACCCUCGCUACCCAGCCUGGGGCCUGCAGCACACGGCCAGGACUCGAUGGGCACGAAAACACUCACUGCCCCCAGCAGAGACCUGGAGAAGGGAAGAGCUGUGCCCCACCCCCCCAUCCCAGAGGAGGAGCCGAGCUCUCCCCACAAUUCCCAGCUCCCAGCCUUCCAGCUCUAAUCAAGGAGCAAACACAAAGAGGGAAUCUCUAAACAUUUAGAAAACGCGGGAACUCUGUGCCCCCACGUGGCGCCGUGGGGAUUUAUAAAGAACAAAUCAUGCCUGACAAACUUGAUAGCUUUCUUGAUAGAAUUACAAGACCGGUAGAUGAAGGAAAUGCAGGCAAGGUAAUAUAUCUUGAUUUUUAGCAAAGCAUUUGAUACAGCGCCUCAAGUAAUCUUACAAAAUUAAUUCAAACAGACUUGGCCCUAAGCACUUGUCAUGGGGCCGAAAGCAGGAGGGGGUAGGUCCCAAGGGUCCUGAGCGAAGGAGGCGAGCCCAGGGGGAAGGGGCUGCAGGACAGAGUCUGGGAGUGGGGGCAGGGCUGCCCAGACCCGGCACUGGGUCAGAUCUUAUCCGACAUCUUCAUUAAUGAUCCUGAGAGAGGGAGUAAACAGUCCGUUAAUGAAAUUUGCAGAGGAUAUUAAAUUGGAAGGUGUUGUGAACACCAAUGAGGACAGCAAAGCGGUCCAGAGAGACCUGGCGGGGGAAGAACCUUGGCAGGAAACUGCUAUUUGGUGGGGGUGGGAUGGGGUGGGGUGGAUGUGUGGGCUGGGCAGCACCUGGGGCCACCCAGAGAGCCAGGGAAGAGGGAAGGGCAUCCCCAGUACUGGGGUGGAGCUGGGAGCAGCCGCGGCUAGCCGGGGUGCGGGUCACGGGAGCAAACCACAAUCUUGGUUUUCCCAUCUGUAAAACAGAAGAAAGGGCUGGUAGAUAUGGAGGGGUCUCAGACAGCUGGUCGUGAUGGGGCGUGAGGGAGGGAGCUCAGAGCUGAAGCCCACCUUACAGGAGGGGAGCAAGGGUUAUCUGCAGGCCAGGGAGAGGAUGGUGGCAAGGCAGAGAAGGGCUGGUGAGGGAGACUGGCUGAGCCAUCCCUAGUGCCCCCAAUGUCCCCGAGCCAGGGCUCUGACACUGCUGGGGCAGGUGCUGCGGGGUAAGGGGGCCCCCUCUCCCAGCUGGCUGGACAAUGACACAUCCGCUGGGGGCUCCGGCUAGAGCCCCGAGCUGUCCAGACUCGCAGGGUGUGCUGGGAACACUUCGGCAAUAGAAGUUCUAACCUGGAGGAUGGAGUGCGGGAAGGCAGGGUCUGUUUUCUUUCUGGAGAGUUCCUGAUCCCACUUUCAUCAGGAAGUUGGGGCCUCGCCAAAAUCAGGAAGAGCUGCCCCACCCCAGACUCUUCUCUCUCUCCUCAGAGCCUGGACCUGUCCUGCCCCUCUCCCUCUGGCCCGAUCCCAAGGAGGCUGAGGCAGAAAGCUGCCCAUCCAUCUGGACUUGGAGAAUUUGUUCCCACAAGGCUCCUAGACAGGUGGGGUUUGAACAGGAGCCAGGCCUCCCUAGCACGGUGACGGGCCCUCAGCAACCUAAAUAAAUGCUUUGUGGGAGGAAGAAGUGGAUGGCUGGUUCCCAGCCGGGGCAGCUGGGGGAGGCUCUUCCAAAGCAAGAGGCCAGCCCUGCCUGAUGUCAAGACCACGUGCCCAAGAGGAUAGACCCAGGUGACCACACAGGCGGUGCUCCUUCCAACCCCCUGAGUUAAUAAUAAUGACACUUACUGAACAUUCGCUAUGGCUCCGUUAUGAGUGAGCUCCUCAUAUCAACAUAUUUAACCUUCACAGCCCCCCCCCCCAAGAGGUAGGUGCUCUUUCCUCCCCAUUUCACAGAGGAGGAAAGUGAGGCAUAGGGCGGCAGCGAUGAGCCUGGACACCUAGCCAGGAGGCCCAUGCAGAAGUAGCAGUCUGCCAAGAGCCGCAAAGGAAGCUGAGCAGCUCCCGAUGGGGGGACCCCAGUGUGGGGAGCGGCAGCCCCUCCUGCAGUGACCCCAGAGCCUUGCCCAGCCUCUCCCGGCCCCCAUCAAAGGGAGUUGGCCCAACUCCUGCCACACUUGUGGAGCCCGAUUUUACUAUAUGUUUCUCUUCUCCCCCACCACUGCUGCGCUACCCGAGUCCUUAGAACAAGUCUGUUUCCAUGGAAACCAUACAGUGACUCAGGGCUUCGGGACCUUCUCUGAACCAGAUUAUGAAUAUCGAAUGCUUCCUCCCCGCACCAAUGCAGAGUGAGUUAGAAAAGUAAAAAGAGAGCCACAGUGGGCAAAGGGAAGGAGACAGGGGCGUAGGCAAGGGGGACCCAGACGGGUACAAGCCUGCCCCCCACCCAUGAAAACCAGCCUUCUGGGCCCCUCUGCAGACUCAGGGGAGCACAGAUGUACAUCUGUGUGUGUCUGCAGCCAGCAAACACGACCCCUACAUCAGCACCAUGAGCACCACCCUUCCUCGGGAACUAAGACCCUGUGGGUGGGGGACAGGGAGGUAAGGGGGAUCUGCAUCCUUCCUACUUGGGGCGUGAAUGUGGCAGAGGUAGCUGAGAGGCCAGGGAGGAGGAAAGCUGUCUGCAAGAGGAGCUUGACUUCCAACGUCGAGGAGGAAACCUCUGGCCAAAAGCACUGCAAUAUUUAGCAAAGAGGGAAAUUUGGAUUUUCAGGGGGAAGUGUGUUUCUGCUUUGAGAUGAGGAGGCUGUUAAGUAUAUGUGCCAGGAGGGGGGCGUGACCAGGAUUUCAAAGCCCCAGCAGGGUUGUGUGGAUCAUUAGCAGAGACUUCCUCCCCGUUGCCCCCACCCUGGCCUGGCCUAGGGCAGCUCACCUGCCCCAGUGGAGACAUAGCAGGGAAAUGAAAGUUUGUAGUGCCAGGCUCCUGGCCUCCCACAGGGGGCUAAGGCCCAAGGGCAGCAAAUCCACCCCCUCCUUUCGCCAGCUGUCCCUGAAGACCCAGGAAGGAGGGGAAGAGAACAGGUUGGCGGCUUGAUACCUCCCUGGUGAAUCCAAUGUGUGAGUCAUGUCGGUGAGAACACUUGGAAAAAAGAAACAGGGUCAUGGUGAUGCCUGUGAGUGUCCCCAGUUGCUGAGGACUGGAGCCUUGGAACCGCCUGCCCAGGUAAGGUCUCUGCCUAAGACAGCCAGCCCCAUCGUAAGGGAUCCAGAAAGCCCCAAAGAUGGGUACCUGGUACCAUAGCCCCCACCAGCUUUCCUCUUAAUACCUACAGUUCCUUUGGCUUGCCAAAGCAGCUACUUUCCCAGCCAGGGGGCCUGCCCCCUGCCCCUAAUCCUAGGUCCCCUCCGCUCCCUGCCCUACCAGCCCUCCAAAAGAUGCAGGGCUCAAGGCUGUCCUUCUUAGGAGCCUCCUGCUUAGGAACAGUGUUCAAGUCCGUCGGAAGGAAACCUGCAGCAGAGGCCGGGAAAGGCAGUCAGCUUCCAUCUGCACCCAUAUCUGAAUCUCGGAUUUCCAGCUGUAGCCUCUCCAUCAGUCCCGGACUCGCCCCAGAGCCACGGAGGGUUUGAAAACUCCAGGUAGCCGGGGAAAGCCUUGGCACCUGUUUCCUGGUCCGGAUGAUGGAGAUCCUGGUCCUCACCUCCUGGGACCAGAUGAUCAUCUCUGGAGAGACACACAGAAACCGUGACUGCCUCGGGGAAAAGAAGUCACACUGCUGGACCGGUGGGAGGAAGACCUUCCAUGAUAAACCCUUUCCUUAACCCAUGGGAGUGUACCACUUCUUCAAAUUCAAACACCAAGCAAAA